rnacentral:rRNA from 1 species
UACGUAGGGGGCGAGCGUUGUCCGGAUUUAUUGGGCGUAAAGGGCGCGUAGGCGGCCUACUAAGUCAGACGUGAAAUCCCCCGGCUUAACCUGGGAACUGCGUCUGAUACUGGAAGGCUUGAGUAUGGGAGAGGGAUGUAGAAUUCCAGGUGUAGCGGUGAAAUGCGUAGAUAUCUGGAGGAAUACCGGUGGCGAAGGCGGCAUCCUGGACCAUUACUAACGCUGAGGCGCGAAAGCUAGGGGAGCAAACGGG